rnacentral:rRNA from 1 species
CUACGGGGUGCACCAGUCGAGAAUCGUCUACAAUGGGGGAAACCCUGAUAGUGCGACGCCGCGUGAACGAUGAAACCCUUCGGGGCGUAAAGUUCUUUUCUUUGUGAGCAGAUUAUUUAAUGUGAAUAAUGUUUUGUAAUAGAUAUUAGCAAAGGAAUAAGCCACGGCUAACUCCGUGCCAGCAGCCGCGGUAAUACGGGGGUGGCAAGCGUUGUCCGGAAUCACUAGGCGUAAAGGGCAGGUAGGCGGAUUAGUAAGUCAGAUGUUAAAGGCACAGGCUCAACCUGUGUACGGCAUUUGAUACUGUUAAUCUAGAGUUAGGUAUGGGAGGACGGAAUUUCUGGUGUAGCGGUGGAAUGCGCAGAUAUCAGAAAGAACACCAAAGGCGAAGGCAGUUCUCUUGGCCAUAACUGACGCUAAACUGCGAAGGUGUGGGUAUCAAACAGGAUUAGAUACCCUAGUAGUC